AAAAAAGCCAACAUGAAAUAUUAGCUUCCGAGUACAACGUCUGGUUAGCUUAGUGGACGGAUUUGGAACUUCCUGGUGAUGACGUCAUCAGCUGCGUUCAGGGAAUGAAAUCACUGGUGAUAAAACCUACACACUGGGCCAGCCGAUGUACUUUGAGGCCAAGCGACUUUCAGCCACUCCAAGGUAUGGAGCUCAGAGGAUGUAUGUGAACAAGUGCUUCAUGACUGCCUCCCAAGACCCCAACUCAAGUCCUAAAUGUACUGUCAUCGACAACUAUGGGUAAGAUUUACGUUUCAUUGUAAGUUUGCUCUGUCUCUUGGUAGUUGAAGGUAAAUGUACAUUACAUACUGCAGCUGUAUGAUUGAUAGUAAGCUGACUGUGCAGUCGAAGUUCCUUGAUUUUCAAGGAUUCCGUUUCAUCUUCCUCAUCAACACAGGUAUGUAAAAAGCAAGCACAACAGAGCUUUUUAUAUCAAAUAAAAUGCAAGCUAACAUUGACACCAUGUCUUUCAGCAACUCUACAUGCACUGUGAGCUGUAUGUGGGUAUGCUUGCACCAACUUCAAGUUGUAAGGCCUGCAAUUAUGAUGCAAAUACCAAAAAGUGAGUUGACUGUCAGAAGCUUGCCACUCAACUUUGCAACCGUUCAUCCCUGACUAAACUUGUGUUUUGUUUUAGGUGGAAGGAGGUGUACGGUGAUAACUCCGUCCGUGUGCACCUGCUGUGAUUCCUCCUGCUCCUCGGCAUCAUCCAAGAGUAAGAACAUGAUCUCCACUCACUCUUGGAAUGUCGACUUGAGCCGUAAGGAUGGAGAGCUGGACUUUGAACCCCAGAUGAAAAUGGAUGAUGACACCUUAAAUCUGCAGGACCCCGACAUGGUGGAGCAUAAAGAGUUCCUA